UGAAAUCCUGUCACUGCGAGGCGGGCUGGGCCUGAAGACGUCAGGUGAAGUAAGACUCACGCUAGAAUCUGCAGAACUUGGUCUUGGCACUGGAGAGCAGGACAGUGGCGAGCAGAGGCUGAGAGGCGAGUCUUAGUAGCCCAGACGCCGCAGUGAAGGCCAUAGGAAAGUGUGGAUGGACACGCACUCCAUGGAAACCUGGCCUUGAAACGCACCGCGCUUCUCAGGCAGCGUCCACCUCACGCUGACUUCGCGCUUCACCUUGAGGCCUGCGUCUGUUUCUGUUGUAAGGAGGCAUUGCCAUGGAGCCACCGUCAGGGAACGCUGAGAAGAGCCGUUCAACCGAGUCACGACGUCAUUCCCGGAGCCCAGAGCCCGAGUGAGGGAAGCAUGUGGAGCCAGGUCGGGUGGACGGCAUUGGCCGCCAGCAGGAACCAAGCAGGAGAGCCCGGCAGCUGCGGAUCGGCAGUAGUGGGAGCCGUGUCCAUUGCUCUCCGACACGACACGGGCGGCAAGGAAGGAGGAGGAAGAGGGAACUCAGCGAGCGGUCUCGGG
rnacentral:lncRNA from 1 species